rnacentral:rRNA from 1 species
AUUGAACGCUGGCGGCAGGCCUAAAACAUGCAAGUCGAGCGGUAGAGAGAAGCUUGCUUCUCUUGAGAGCGGCGGACGGGUGAGUAAUGCCUAGGAAUCUGCCUGGUAGUGGGGGAUAACGUUCGGAAACGGACGCUAAUACCGCAUACGUCCUACGGGAGAAAGCAGGGGACCUUCGGGCCUUGCGCUAUCAGAUGAGCCUAGGUCGGAUUAGCUAGUUGGUGGGGUAAUGGCUCACCAAGGCGACGAUCCGUAACUGGUCUGAGAGGAUGAUCAGUCACACUGGAACUGAGACACGGUCCAGACUCCUACGGGAGGCAGCAGUGGGGAAUAUUGGACAAUGGGCGAAAGCCUGAUCCAGCCAUGCCGCGUGUGUGAAGAAGGUCUUCGGAUUGUAAAGCACUUUAAGUUGGGAGGAAGGGCAGUAAAUUAAUACUUUGCUGUUUUGACGUUACCGACAGAAUAAGCACCGGCUAACUCUGUGCCAGCAGCCGCAGUAA